UAUAAAAUGUUACACCCAAACCAAGUGCAUAAUACCAAAGAUAAGAUAAAUCCAAGGUCAAACAGAAGCAAAGCAAACUAAUGAACAAAGCAUACAUUAAUAUUGCAAAUCCACAAGGUACUAUACUAUAUGUAUAGACUCAUUCACUUGUACAUAAAAGAAGAAGAAGAAGGAGGGACGAAAGCAAAAUCAUGAAGGAGAAAGGUUAGUCUACAGGUAGAGGAUUCGUCAAGAUUCAGCAUACUGUUCAUUUCAUCCAUGCAACACAUAACGAGUGGCGGAGCCAGGAUAUUCACGAAGGGUUCAUAAGUGAACGUACGAACUACCGAAGGGGGUUCAACAUCUAAUAUAUAUACAUAAAAAUAAUUUUAACAAUGUAUAUAUAGCAUAAUUUUUUGCCGGGGGUUCGGAUGAACCCCUCGGCAAAGGGUAGAUCCGCCCCUGCACAUAACUUGAUGAUGCUUUGUGUGUGAACUUAGACUAGCUAUGAAAGGUAAUCAGAAGAGGGAAGUUUACAGCUUUAUCCGCUACUUGUCUGGUAUGCAAAAUAUAAGUGAAAACAAAAAUGGAAAGAGCCUCCACCGACCAAAGGAAAGUGUGUAAUUUCUGUACCCCACUCCCACCCCCUUUUUCUUUCUAAUAUGAUCCCUUAACACGUCAAAGGCACUCCAUCAAUUCAAAUUUAUGUUGUAUAUGACCUAUUAGAGGAGUUGGGGAAGUAUUCUCUAAUAAGAUUUCUCCGGUUGAUUCACAUUCUUUCGAGAUAAUUCUUUUCUCUCCAUUUAUCUUGUUCUAUCACUACUAUUCAAGCAAGGUGCACCUAGUAUUUCUUGGAAGUGGGAACAAUCGACAAGAAUACACUAUACAUUUGUCUCUCAAGCCAGAAUCAAAAGCACCAACUUUCGGAUGAGAGGCUACGCUUACACACACAGUUCAUAUGAGCCGUUUGGUUUGCUAACAAGUUAAUAACAUAAUGAAUGGUGAUAAUCAGAUCAUUAAUCGGUCACCGAAUGUAUGAUUCGUAAAAUAUAAUUUGAAACAGAAUAUACUACCGGAUAAUUCAGAUAAUACCUCUAACCAAUGACCCUUUGGAAUAGCCAAGAAUGGAACUCCACAUGGAUUAUUGCCAAGAAUGAAACUAUUGAAGGAAAGAGUCAUUACAAGCUUCAUGGUAUAACUUGCUCUUCAUGUGAACAAUAUAUGACUUUGAGAUACGAAUCACUUGUUGGUUGUUUACAGUGAGUACAAAUAUAACACAACUAUUUAAAAGGAGAAGUUUUAAACCAUUACUUGGCCUAACUACAUUCCCAUAUUGCAGAUUUUGUACACGAACAACACACACGUUAAGAAAACCCCAACGUCUAUUAAAGAAUGCUUCACUUAAUGCUCUCGUGAA